GUAAAAUUGGCCAUAACUUUUGAGCUCACCUGAGUGCAACAUGCUCAUGGUGAGCUUUUGUGAUUGCCUUUUGUCCGUUGUGCGUUGUAUGUCGUCAACAUUUUGCCUUGUGAACACUCUAGAUGCCACAUUUAUUGUCUGAUCUUCAUGAAAUUUUGCAGAACAUUUGUCACAUUGAUACCUCGACUGAGUUCGAAACUGGGUCAUGCUGGGUCAAAAAUUAGGUCACUAGGUCAAAAAAACAACAAAAAAACUUGUGAACACUGUAGAAGUCCAAUCUUCAUGUAACUUUGUCAAAAUGUUUGUCUAAAUGAUAUUUUGGUUUAGUUAAAAAUUGGUUCCGGUCCGUUGAAAAACAUGGCCGCCAGGGGCGGGGCAGUUUUCCUUAUAUGGCUAUAGAGAAACCUUGUGAACACUUUAGAAGUCAAAAUGUUUGCCUAAUCAUCAUGAAACUUGGUCAAAACAUUGGUUUUAUUUAUAUUUUGGACGAGUUUGAAAAUGGUCCAGAUCAGUGAAAAAACAUGGCCGCCAAGGGGCGGGGGAGUUUUCCUUAUGUCUUUAGUUAAACAUUGCUAACACUCUAGAGGCCACAUUUAUUGUCCAUUCUUCAUGAAAUUUGGUCAGAAGUUUGGUCUCAAUGAUAUCUUAGACGAGCUGAAAAUGGUUACGUUUGCUUGAAAAACAUGGCUGCCAAAGGGCGGGGCAUUUUUCCUUAUAUGGCUAUAUAUGGCUAUAGUAAAAUCUUGUUAACACUCUUGAGGCCACAUUUAUUUUCCGAUCUUCAUGAAACUUGGUCAGAAUAUUCAUCCCAAAAAAUAUUGUAGACAAGUUAAAAAAUGAUGCUGGUUGGUUGAAAAACAUGUCCGCCAGGGGGUGGGGCAUUUUACCUUAUAUGGCUAUAGUAAAACUUUGUUAACACUCUAUAGGCCACAUUUAUUUUCUUAUCUUCAUGAAACUUGGUCAGAAGAUUUGUCCUAAUGAUAUCUUGGAUUAGUUCAAAAAUAGUUUCGUUUGCUUAAAAAACAUGGCCACCAGGGGGCGGGGCAUUUUUCCUAAUAUGGUUAUGUAUCAUGCUUUACUAAAACAUUGUAAACACUCUGUAGGCCACAUUUAUUUUCCGAUUAUUAUGAAACUUGGUCAGAUGAUUUGUCCUAAUGAUAUCUUGGAUGAGUUCAAAAAUGGUUCUAGUUGGUGGAAAAACAUGGCCACUAAGGGGGCGUGGCAUUUUUCCUUAUAUGGCUAAAGUAAAACCCUGUUAAAACUCUAGAAGCCAUAUUUAUUGUACGAUCAUCAUGACACUUUGUCAGAAGAUUUGUCCCAAUGAUAUUUGGACAAGUUUGAAAUUGGUUCCAGUUGCUAAGAAAAACAUGGCCACCAGUGGGCGGGGCAUUUUUCCUUAUAUGGACUUAUGAAUCUUCUUGAAACUUUGUCAGUAUAUUAGUUUAAAUGAUAUCUUGGAUGUGUUUUUCACGUUGACAUUUGAAGCUUUAACUUUGUAUGAUUCUAAAUAUGUGUCAAUGCUGUCAGUUGAAUUUUGAAAUAUGAAGUUUUACAUUUUUUGUAGAUUAAAUAAUUUGUAAAAUGUUGCAGUUUCGUCAAUCAGUUUUAUAAGAUAUUGAGCUUUAAAUAUGAUGCAGAUUGUAAGAUUCUUAAUAUCUUUCAAUAUUGUGGAUAAGUUUUUGAGAUAUCAAGCUUUGAGUUUUAUGCAAAUUGUAUGAUUUUAAAAUGUUUUAAUGGUGUUGAUCAGUGUAAUGAAGAUUGCAUAAUUUUUAUGUUUUAAUUCUGUCUAUUGGUUUUCAAAAUGAAAGACUUUGAUUUUGUAAGUGCACUUUUAUCUCCUGAAAGAUUCUUUUCUAGUGUUUAGUUUAUAUUUUAAGGCUGUUUGCAAACUCGAAGUGAAAACAGUUCUAUUACAAUUUGGUAAGGACAUGACAUUGCAUAUCUGAUUUUAAAAUGUACUUUGCUGGCAACGUGUAAUUUUCUGAAAUGUCUUAGUAAGACUGUUGUUUGCAAUCAAAAGGUCUGUGCUUCAAAUACAGGGUAAUGCAUGUUUUUUGUCCAAAUUUAUGGCGAUUCAGACAUUGUUCUAUGUAAAUUUGGGGUUUGCUUGAAGGUUCAGUCUAUUUUUAUGUCCCUCACUAUAGUAGUGGGGGACAUAUUGUUUUUGUCCUGUCUGUUGGUUGGUUGGUUGAUCUGUUUACGCCAACUUUAACAUUUGCAAUAACUUUUGCAAUAUUGAAGAUAGCAACUUGAUAUUUGGCAUGCAUAUGUAUCUCAUAGAGCUGCACAUUUUAAUUUUCUGAAAGGUCAAGGUCAGAGGUCAAAUAUAUGUGGCCAAAAUCGCUCAUUUUAUGAAUACUUUUGCAAUAUUGAAGAUAGCAACUUCAUAUUUGGCAAGCAUGUGUAUCUCAUGGAGCUGCACAUUUUGAGUGGUGAAAGGUCAAGGUCAUAAUUCAAUGUCAUAGGUCGAAUAUAUGGCUUCAAAGCGGCGCAGUAAGGGGGAUUGUGUUUUACGAACACAGCUCUUGUUGUUAACUGCCUUUUUAGUCCCUUACCAGUGUUUCACUAAAGUCCGUGUACUUUGGACUCAUUUCAAGUUGACAUUUGAAGCUUUAACUUUGUAUGAUUCUAAAUAUGUGUCAAUGCUGUCGGUUGAAUUUUGAAAUAUGAAGUUUUUCAUUUUUUGUAGAUUAAAUAAUUUGUAAAAUGUUGCAGUUUAGUCAAUCAGUUUUAUAAGAUAUUGAGCUUUAGUUAUGAUGCAGAUUGUAAGAUUCUUAAUAUCUUUCAAUAUUGUGGAUAAGUUUUGAGAUAUCAAGCUUUGAAUUUUAUGCAAAUUGUAUGAUUUAAAAUGUUUUAAUUUGUUGAUCAGUGUACUGAAGAUUGUAUACUUUUUAUAUGUUAUAAUUCUGUCUAUUGGUUUUCAAAAUGAAAGACUUUGAUUUUGUAAGUGCACUUUUAUCUCAUUAUGCCCCCCUUCGAAGAAGAGGGGGUAUAUUGCUUUGCUCAUGUCGGUCGGUCUGUCGGUAUGUCAGUUUGUCGGUCCGUCCACCAGGUGGUUGUCAGACGAUAACUCAAGAACGCUUGGGCCUAGGAUCAUGAAACUCCAUAGGUACAUUGAUCAUGACUCGCAGAUGACCCCAAUUGAUUUUGAGGUCACUAGGUCAAAGGUCAAGGUCACGGUGACCCAAAAUAGUAAAAUGGUUUUUGAAUGAUAACUCAAGAACGCAUACGCCUAGGAUCAUGAAACUUCAUGGGUAGAUUGAUCAUGACUCGCAGAUGACCCCUAUUGAUUUUGAGGUCAAAGGUCAAGGUCACGGUGACCCGAAAUAGUAAAAUGGUUUUCAGAUGAUAACUCAAGAACGCAUAUGCCUAGGAUCAUGAAACUUCACAGGUAGAUUGAUCAUGACUCACAGAUGACCCUUAUUGAUUUUGAGGUCACAAGGUCAAGGUCACGGUGACCCGAAAUAAUAAAAUGAUUUUCGGAUGAUAACUCAAGAACGCUUUUGCCUAGGAUCAUGACACUUCAUAGGUACAUUGAUCGUGACUCACAGAUGACCCCUAUUGAUUUUCAGGUCACUAGGUCAAAGGUCAAGGUCACAGUGACAAAAAACGUAUUCACACAAUGGCUGCCACUACAACGGACAGCCCAUAUGGGGGGCAUGCUUGUUUUACAAACAGCCCUUUUUAAAGAUUCUUUUCUAGUGUUUAGUUUAUAUUUUAAGGCUGUUUGCAAACUCGAAGUGAAAACAGCUCUAGUACAAUUUGGUAAGGACAUGACAUUGCAUAUCUGAUUUAAAAAUGUACUUUGCUGGCAACGUGUAAUUUUCAGAAAUGUCUUAGUAAGUAAGACUGUUGUUUGCAAUCAAAAGGUCUGUGCUUCAAAUCCAGGAAAAUGCAUGUUUUUUGUCCAAAUUUAUGUCAAUUCAGACAUUGUUCUGUGUAAAUAUGGGGUUUGCUUGUAGGAUCAGUCUAUUUUUAUGUCCCCCACUAUAGUAGUGGGGGACAUGUUGUUUUUGCUCUGUCGGUCUGUUGAUUGGUUGGUUGGUCUGUUUAUGCCAACUUUAACAUUUUGCAAUAUUGAAAGUAGCAACUUGAUAUUUGGCAUGCAAAUGCAUCUCCUGAAGCUGCACAUUAUCAUUGGUGAAAGGUCAAGGUCAUCCUUCAAGGUCAGAGGUCAAAUAUAUGUGGCCAAAAUCGCUCAUUUUAUGAAUUCUUUUGCAAUAUUGAAGAUAGCAACUUGAUAUUUGCCAAGCAUGUGUAUCUCAUUGAGCUGCACAUUUUGAGUGGUGAAAGGUCAAGGUCAUCCUUCAAGGUCAGAGGUCAAAUAUAUGUGGCCCAAAUCGCUUAUUUUAUUAAUACUUUUGCAAUAUUGAAGAUAGCAACUUGAAAUUUGGCAUGCAUGUGUAUCUCAUGGAGCUGCAAAUUUUGAGUGUUGAAAGGUCAAAGUCAUCCUUCAAGGUCAGAGGUUAAAUAUAUGUGGCCCAAAUCGCUUAUUUUAUGAAUACGUUUGCACUAUUGAAGAUAGCAACUUGAUAUUUGGCAUGCAUAUGUAUCUCAUAGAGCUGCACAUUUUGAGUGGUGAAAGGUCAAGGUCAUCCUUCAAGGUCAGAGGUCAAAUAUAUGUGGCCCAAAUCGCUUAUUUUAUUAAUACUUUUGCAAUAUUGAAGAUAGCAACUUGAAAUUUGGCAUGCAUGUGUAUCUCAUGGAGCUGCAAAUUUUGAGUGUUGAAAGGUCAAAGUCAUCCUUCAAGGUCAGAGGUUAAAUAUAUGUGGCCCAAAUCGCUUAUUUUAUGAAUACGUUUGCACUAUUGAAGAUAGCAACUUGAUAUUUGGCAUGCAUAUGUAUCUCAUAGAGCUGCACAUUUUGAGUGGUGAAAGGUCAAGGUCAUCCUUCAAGGUCAAAUAUAUGGGUCAAAAUUGCUCAUGUUAUGUUACUUCUGCAAUAUUGAAGCUAGCAAUUUUAUAUUUGACAUGCAUGUGUAUCUCAUGGAGCUGCACAUUUUGAGUGGUGAAGGGUCAAGGUCAUCCUUCAAGGUCAAACGUUAUAUACGGGGACAUUGGGUUUCACAAACGCAUCUUGUUGUGUAUGUAAUUAAUUUUGCUUAAUUUUUGUGAUCCCCCGCCAACAGCGGAGGGAUAUUAAUUUGGCAUUGUCCGUCUGUCCGUCCGGCACUUUUGUGUCCGGAACCAUAUCUUGGAAGUGCUUUAGCAGAUUUCAUUGAAACUUGGUACGAGUAUAUAUAUAUGGAUAAGAGGAUGAUGCACGCCAAAUGGCAUUGUACAUCCUUGAUUAAUAGCGGAGUUAUGACCCUUUGUAUUUGAAAAAAAUGCUUUUUUUGUGUGUCCAGAGCCAUAACUUGUAUCCAGAAGUAUAAUGGCGGGGGAUAUCAAUUCAACGAAUUUGCUUGUUAAAUCAGUUUUUAUUUUCAUGAUAAUCAUUUAGUUCGUACUGCAACUUAUGAUGGAUUGUUACUACUAUCUCCAAUUAUUUGUUUGUCAUGGGUCCGUCACCAUUUAUCUCUUAUAUAAUACUUGAAUUGAGCAUUUCACAAUCUGACAAUCAUGCAUAUCAUUUAUUAGUUUCAUAAUAAAACGUCUGACAAGGGUCAGAUAAUUUUAA